UACGUAGGGUGCAAGCGUUGUCCGGAAUUAUUGGGCGUAAAGAGCUCGUAGGCGGUUCGUCACGUCGGCUGUGAAAUCCCGAGGCUCAACCUCGGGUCUGCAGUCGAUACGGGCGGACUGGAGUACUGCAGGGGAGACUGGAAUUCCUGGUGUAGCGGUGAAAUGCGCAGAUAUCGGGAAGAACACCUAUGGCGAAGGCAGCUCUCUGGGACGGUACUGACGCUGAGACGCGAAAGCGUGGGGAGCGAACAGG
rnacentral:rRNA from 1 species